GAAGCUAGGGUACAGCCAGCCUUGGAUCCAGGUGCCUACUUCCUGGGUUUACCUAACAGGUGCCCCAAGCCUGAUCUGCACUUGCCUGGCAACCUCCUCCCCGAAGUCCCCGCCCUGAAUGAGCCCCGUCCUACUUGCAAGGUGGGUGCGAUUGGGCCACAGCGAGCAGGCGGCAGAGGCAGAAAUCACACCUGGGCCUGGCUGACUCCAAAGCUCACACCUGGCCCUGUGGUCUGCGGUGGGAGGCAUCAUGCCAAUCAUGAGGAGAGGGAGUCCUGGGGCUGCCUUGUCCCCCGAGGUCACCCUGAAGUGAAGGCUGCUUUUGGGGAUCUGGAGUUUCCUCAUUCUUGGGGUCUCACCCCCCAUCAUCACCUCUGCUGGCCUCUUUCCAGCUGGAAUGCAGAGCCAGCCCCAGGCAGGGAGCAGUCAGCCCCAGGGGACAGCUGACCCUCAAGUGACAAACAGCGGCAUCCCUGAAAGCCCUUAGUUAAGAUCUGUUUUCAAUGCAUGGGGAUGCUUCCCAUUGAAAACAGGGAUUUGCAAAUUUUUGCCCACUGGGCCACACACGUGGGGUGACUUUUUGUGCCCAUUGUUGCCCCAAUGGUUGACACUAUUUGACACCCCCCCCCCCCCCAGGAAAGGAAAGAUCAGCCACACAUUCUGGCAGUUGUACAGGAUUGUUUAUAAACUUCCAAUUCCUAGCUCACAAACUAUAACCCCGCAGUUCGUAACUGUGGCUGCACAUUAGAAUCAUCUGGGAGCUUAUAAAAUAUAAAAAUGCCUCAGCUGCACCCCAGACCAAUUACAUCAGNNNNNNNNNNUUACAUCAGCAUCCGCAAGAGGGAGGGGGCGGGAGGAGUGUGAGCAUUUUUAAAAGUGGUCCAGCAUGCCACCCAGAUUGAGAGCCACUGCUCCAACAUCUUUCUCUUCUACUCAGGAGACCACACUGUUAUAGAAGUGAGCGAAAGAAGGAGGCAUGAUUUGAGACAACUUUCAAUCUGCUCAGAUUUAUUUUCAAAUGUCUGUCCUUUACAAUGAAUGACAACUUCCUUGUGACACAUUUCACAGCCAAACAAGGCACCCCGGUGUGUGCUGAGAACUGAUUUAAAGGAAUCCAAGGAUGGGAGAAUUUGGCAAAGUGAAGAGACUCUCCCUAGCAAAGCAAAUAAUGCCCCCAACUGAUUUGUCCCCGAGGGCCUCCCUGGAGCUUGCACAGAGUGAGGCACCCUGGUCAUUGGCCCCUCUCUCCCCACACAGCUGCAGUGAUGGAGUACUUGCACCUGGCCCUGAGGCCCAUCUGUAGUGUUCCACCACUGCUCACCCGGAGCGAGGUAAGUGCACCGUUGCUGGGGGAGCCCCUGCUCCAACCUCCAUCGGCACCACCCCUCACCCCUUUGACACUAUAACUGGAUGUUUGUCUGAGGUCUCAGAACCUUCCUUGUGGGCCCACAUCAAGCACUAGCUUCUUCAUAAUCAUCCCAACCUCUGGGCUUUUGCUUAGGCUGUGCUUCCUUGGUCUGCAAUGUGAUUAGCUCUAAGCCUGUCCCUCAUCCCUGUCACUUCAUUCAUAAGCAGCUUAUCUUCGCUGCCAGACAGGAGGCUCCCAAAGGCAGGUUCUGUGACAUUCACAUUUUUUAAUGCCACCCACCAAGGCUACCAGCUCUCAAGACACAUGCACACGGAGCCUGGUGGCCAUUCAUGCUUACUGAGUAAUAAGGAUAUAUUGAGUGCUAACUGUGUACACAAUACUAUUUUCAAAUGAUGAUGAUUCAGUUUUCUAUUUGCACAUACAAUUUUUAAAAGAGGAUUUUUAAUAAAGGCUUUAUUUCCUUAGAGCA
rnacentral:lncRNA from 12 species